GCCUGGGAUGGAACUCAGAUCCUUCCGCUUGCGCAGCAGGUGCGAAACCCCUGAGCCAAAUCCCCAGCCCGGACAUACGAUUUUUAAAGGACAUUCACACACAUAACACACAUGCCCAAACACAAGAUACUUUUAAAUUUUGGCGUGGAAAAGUAGAAACUAAAUAAUGAUAAAUCACUUAAAUACUUAUUAUAUUUGAAACAAUCUACAUAAAUUUAAAAUAGCACCAAAGAGAAAAUGUCUAACAUUACAAAACCAUGGCUUCCCAAUAUAUUUAUAGUUGGCAUUUUGUCCCUUUCUAUCCAGGCUCUGCAUACAAGUACUUUACAUACUUCAUCUCUGUCUAAAAUAUCUUAAAAGCUAUUUGAUUCUCAACCAAUCCUUGUUUAUAUUUUCUUAUUAUUAAAAACUAAAGUAAAUAUGCAUUCUACUGACACACCUGUGUUCUUUGUACCCUGUGAUACCUUUCUCCCCAGAGUUCCUAGGUGAAUUUUUUCAAGCAACAAUCCCUUUUGACUCCCUUCCUCCUCUAAACUCCUAGUUCCUCUAUGCCUGGUAAGGAAUGAAGAAAGACAGUUAUCAGUGUAUCAGUGUAUAUGAGGUCUCCUAUAUGAAUAGAAAAGAUGUUGAAUAAUUACUAAGUAAAUAAGAUUUUUACACACACACACACACGUGGAGGGAAAGACUACUACUUGGAUAAGGUCAAGAUGAAACGAUAGGAAAUACUGUGGGUUUUUUUUUUUUUUUUUGUGCCGGGGAUCGAACUCUGGACCUUGUGCUUGCGAGGCAGGUGGCAGAACCACUGAGCUAAGUCCCUGGCCCCUUCCUGUGAUUUUUUUGAUAUUUCCUUUAUGGUGAUUGGCUCAUGGUUUCAAAGUGGCAGCCAGAGUUCCAGGCAAUUGUCCUCAAGGCAAGAAGAAAGGAAGAGAAAAGCAGAAUAAAUAAAAAUGGGUCAAUUUCAUUUUUUGGGGGGGGCACUGGGGAUCAAACUUGGGACCUUGCACUUGUGAGGAAGGCGGUGGAGCCCUGAGCUAAAUCCUGUGCCCCAUCAAUUUUAUUUUUGUCCUUUUCCUUUUUCUUUCUUCCUAGAAAUGUUUCCUUAAACCACAGCCCCUAUAUAUUAAACAUCCUUAUCAGAUUGCAAACCAUAAUUUUCAAUGAAAGGCAAUUUUCCCUUUCAGAAGACAUAUGAGAAAGACAAGAUACACUUUAACUGUUACAUCUGAGAGAUAGGUGUCAUUGUCAUUCAGUGGACAGAGGUGAGUCACGCUGGCUAACAUCUAGUACAGUAAAACCCCAAAGAAAAAUUUCACCCUGCCUAAAAUAUCAAUGACUUUGAGGUCAUGAAGCUCUACUCUAAGUUAAUCUCAAGCUGGGGGGCACCGUGCAUCUCAAACAUUGAGGUUUAUAAGCAAAGGACAGGGAUUCAUACAAAGCUACUAGUGUCUUUCGUUAUACAACCAGAUCUUCAGAUAUAUUUAAAGCAUUACUCAAGCUGAGUCAAUUUCAAGCAAACUGUUACACAACUCUGGUCUAGAUUUUUAGGUAAUCUAUAAUUACAAUUAGGAAAAAAAGUCUUGGAAUAGAUUUAAUAACUAUUCAGCCCAGCCUCUGUAUUUACUUUAUACUUUGUCAUAAUGGAAACAAUUAUUGAUAUUUUAUCUUAGAUAUACAUGGCAUAAACACUGGAAUUACAUUUUUAAUAAUUAGAAAAGUUACUUCUCAAUCUGAAUCAUUAUUUUUUUUCAAGGCUCAAUGCCUAUUUGCCUAGUUGUACAAAGCUAUGUCUCCAAGUCCUAAUCAGUCUCUGAGACUGUGCUGCUUUAAUGAUAGAUGGAAAAUGAAAAUAUUAAGUACAUUUCUGAAAAAUUACACACAUUUAGGUCCCUUGGAAAACUGCAUUUUCAAGGCAUUUCAAAUGUUAGCUCUAGGAAUCACAGAGGUGGUGAAAAGCUAUUAUCCCUGUUUUAUAUUUGAGGCAGCAGGCUCAGAGGAUUUAAAUGGGGUGUUAAAUUUUAAGAUUAGAAAGUACCCAGGACUUCUCACUCAACAUUAAAGCAUAUAAUACUUUCUUUUAUUUUGUUUUUUGGAUUAUUCAAUGAAGGAAAAUUUUAACAAUAUAUUACAGUUAUUGUCUUUAAGUGAUCUACCCCUAGAGAGCUAAUGCUAUUGUAAAAACUAUUACUCAAUACUUUUAAGUUAACUACAGGAUCUUUUAAAUUUACAUGUAUUCAUUCCUAACUCUGUACCUUAUUCUCUUUUUGCUUUAUCACCAUAGGCAAUCAACAAUUUUUAUGUAUUUAAUCUUUAUCUCUACUUACAUAUUUUUGCAUGUAUUCUUUAAUUUUAUGUUUAUAAUCAUCAUUGAAUACACAGUCAAUUGCCUUAAUUCAACAAGAGUGGAGUUGAAGUCAAAGUUGUGUUAAUUUGGACUAAAUAAAGGAUUUCUAUUUCCAAAAAAGUAAGUUAAGAAAUCUAUGCUAACAUUGGAAUGCACAUUUCCAUUUUUCCACUCUAGAUUUCUUAUCAUUAAAUAAUAAAGGCAUAAUUAAAUGAGACAGUAAAUGUUGAAAAAGUGUAAGAGUAAACAUGAUUAGCUUAUGAAAUUGUAAGUUGGAUCAUCAGCAACACUACCAACAUCACACAUAAAACACACACACACACACUCCUAUUACACACAUUCAGCACCCCUGCACACAGAGUUAAAUCUUAUUUGAUGACUUCCCAUUGGUUUUAGGAUAAAGAAAUGACUCUUAUAGAGGCAAAUAUAGUGUGUAAUUACCUAUUUACUAUGCCAUUUUCUAUUUCCCCUGGGCAGCGUGCUCUCUGGCACAUUCUGUAUUUCACAUACACUGGCAUUCUACAAUCCCUAUUCCUUGCUAUGAACGCUUCUAACUCAAGACUUUUGUACCUCAGCAUUGUUUUAUUUCAUCUCAUCCUUAUAAACUUACAGAUAUCAGAUCACACACCUCAACAGUUACAUUAAUCCUAUACAUCUCUACUAUAUAUAAAUCUGAGCUGCAUUUUUAUGCACUUCGCUGGCAUAACUACUUCAUAGUUCAUGAGAUUAUAUUCAGUAAUCAAGCCUUGAGAUGAGCUGUAUUAUUUUUCUUUGUGAUCAUCAUGAAACAUUUCUAUCCAAGAGGGAGAAGACGUUUGUAAUAUUUGCGAAGAGACUUUUAUGGUAUAGCAGUAGAGUGGGUUAGAAGAUAGAGGCUUGAGAUCCAGAAAGAUUCAAGUUCCAAUCAGGCUUCCACCACUUAUUAGCUGAGCGCCCCCAAGAGAGUAAUUGCCUUUUCUAGGCUAUGGUUUUAAUUUUCAUCAGUAAACUACUACUAAUACUACAACCACCUGUUGUUUGGAGUUGCUCUAAGGAUUGGAUAUAAUACAGUUAAAGUGACUAACAAUAGGUGCAUAAGAAUUCAGAGAAAUAGCUAAUGUAAAACUAAGAGAAAGUGGAAAAAAAUUGAUUCUUCCAAACACUACUGCAUUUGGUAAUGAUAAGCCACUUAGAAUAAUUGAUCGUUUUUUAUUUUUCUUCCACCUCUGUUACUCUAGAUGGUGAUUAAACUUGGCUUAAGCUAAUUCUCAGCUCUGAACUGAAGCGACUAGAAGACUGAAUGGUUUGAGGAGGAAUUCUUCUACUGCAGUGGUAUAUCUGCUAGAGGCUGAGCCAGAAGUACAGGAACUCAAAGUGUUGCUACGUAGUAACUAGAGACCUAAAAUGCCAUCAUGUGGAAACGAUCCAUUUGCUUUAGGUUCAACAGUGAAGAUGGGGGAAUGUUGACUGAGAAGCCAAAGAAACCCACCUUCCAGAGCCUUUCUUUGGUUUUGACAAGUAAACAAUGUACCUUCUUGCAAUUAUCACCGUUCAUUUUUAACUCUGAAAAGUGACCUCGAGGAGGUUGGUGUCUUCACAGCCACAGCUCAGAAUUAAUCAGGCUGCUUGACUCAAAUCUCAGCUUCACCACUUGCUCACUGUAGAACUUGGCCAAGGUUCUCACCUUCUCUGCACCAUGGUUUGCUGGACAAUUGAAUCAGGACAUGGAUGAUUAUGAUAAAAUCUAAAUGUUAUCAUCAGCAACCAGCACAGAGAAAACACUCAGUAAAAAUUAGCUCAUAAUAUCUGCUCUAGUAGGAGGGGCUUGUGAUGUUUUUCUAAUAAAGAAAUAUUCUUUUAAUGUGAUAAUGAAAUAUUCCACAGUAUGGAAUUAUUAGCUCAUUUCCAUCUACUCUAAGGACAAAUGUAGGUGAUAUCUCACAGAGUGAAAAGGAAAAAAUGCAGGAGAGGGAAGAAAGGGGAAGUAAAGAGAAAGAAGAAAAAGAAGAAAGCAAGAAAGCAAAAAUUAUUGACUGGUUUGUAUUGGAAAAAUAAAUUGAAAUAACAUCAUAGUUUGGAAGGAUGAAGCAAAAAUAGUCAAGAAUGGCAACAUAACUUGAGGGGCAAGUGUGAAAUGAAAAUACGGCAACUUCUUGUCCAAAAAUUAUUACAAAUUUCAAGAAGAUGAGAGCCGUCUAAUAACCAACAUGGGUUCUUUGGAUCACAGAGCCCCAUGUAACUUGUCCCACCAUGAAGCCAGCCUUCUGUAUAGUGUCUUUAUUUUGUCUUAAAUUAAUUCAUUCCUCAAGAGCUCUCACACGCAGCUUAGGGAGGUCAGACGUGAACUUUUGUGCCAUCUGCUAUUGAUUCUUGGUCUGACCUGGUAAUUUAUGUUCAUAUAGUUUUAGUUUGGUUAGGUAAAAGAGCUCAGUUUCUCAGUUUCUUUCUCCUCUGGCUAUGUUUUAAGAAUUUUAGAGUGUAUUGAGGGGAGAGGGUCUCUGGAACAGUUCUCUGGUCGUUCCGUUUGUUCAGUAACAUUUCUUUUUUAUCUGUGUGAUACUUGGCAUUACAGGCCAAAGUCUGUAGUUGAUUAACUUCGGAUGUGAGGUCAUCUGUUUUUCAAAAUGACUAUCAUUGUUGAAUUGUAAACAAAAUAGGUCACAGAGUUAAGUUUCUCUUCAAGUGCAUGGAAACUUGGCAAAAAGUGGGAUAAACCACAAUUAAAAUAAAUAUAUGUGUAUUUUCUCUACAAAUAAAUUGUGACUUUAUUUUUUUCUAUGAUUUUCAAAAUAUUUACAAAUGAAAAUGUUAGUCAGAUUUCUAUCGCUAAGAAAAUCAACUUAAAGGAGGAAAGAUUUAUUUUGGUUCAGGGUCUCAGGAGUUGCGUUCCAUGGCUGGCCUGUUCCAUUGUUGGGUUUGGGAGACACAGCUCAUCAUGACAUUAAGGAUAUGGGUGGAGCAAAGCUACUCACCUCAUGGUGGCCUAGAAGCCAAAAAACAGAAAGAGAGAGAGGGUCCAGAGACAAAUUCUACCAGUCAAAGGUGGCUCAGUGAGCAACCCUCCCAUCUAAGCCCCGCCUUCUAAAGUUGUCAGCACCUCCCAACAGUAGCAGCCACAGCUCAAGGCAUGGCCUUCAACACAGGAGUCUUUGGAGAACAUUCCAGAUCCAAACUUCGACAAUCUUGACUCUUCUUUUUGGUGAAUUUUGUAAUAAUAUCUGAGAGAAAACAAACAAAAAAAUCCCAAUUAAAUUUAAAAUCACAAAUUUGAUUUCCUACUCAAAGAAUUCUGUAGUAAAUUCACUAUUCAGUGAAGCUUUCUUUGUUUGUUUUGCUUUUGUUUUUUUCAAUACUAGGAAUUGAACUCAGGACCUUACACUUGGC
ensembl:lncRNA